AAUUCAGUUUAGGGUUUUAAAACCUUAAUUCUGACUGAAUGGAAAGAGUUCAGUUUAGGGUUUAAAACCCUAAUGCUGACUGAGUGGAAAAAGUUCAGUUUAGGGUUUAAACCCCUAAUGCUUACUAAAGGAAAAGAGUUCAGUUUAGGGUUUAAACCCCUAAUGCUUACUAAAGGAAAAGAGUUCAGUUUAGGGUUUAAAACCCUAAUGCUGACCAAAGGAAAGAGUUCAGUUUAGGGUUUAAAACCCUAAUGCUGACUAAAUGGAAAAGUUCAGUUUAGGGUUUAAAACCCUAAUACUGACUGAAUGGAAAAAGUUCAGUUUAGGGUUUAAAAUCCUAAUGCUGACCAAAGGAAAGAGUUCAGUUUAGGGUUUAAAACCCUAAUGCUGACUUAAAUGAAAAGAGUUCAGUUUACGGUUUAAAACCCUAAUGCU
rnacentral:lncRNA from 1 species